CUCUGCUCUACAGUUUGACAUAUCCCUCACAGAAUUCUUUAACCAUAAAUUUUCUCACAUAUUGAGCUUAGUACCGAAAAAACAUUAGGGGAAACCAAAGAAGAAGAAGUUGAAGAAAUGGUUGCAGAGACGGGGAUGGUGAUGGUAGGUGUUCUGGGACUUUGGGCGCGAUUUGUCCGAAAGCCACUGCUUGAGUUCACCGGGGAAAUUAUAAAAGUCGCCUCUGAAGUCGUGUCGAGGAUGUGUGGACGGGAUACAGAUACAGCUUCGUACAACUCAUCUCCUCCCAUCUCUUGAAGAAGGUGAUAUGCAAAUGCAUAUGCUAACAUAUUGUAUUGAAAAUAUUUAUGGAUACAAAUAGGUUUUGUUUUUCUUAUUUGUGGGUUCCCAACUAUAUAUGUAAGUAUACAUCUUUUGGAUGCUUCAAUCUACUGAUUAAACAAGAGCAAGUUAUUUACAAGAGUCUCUAGAGUUUGAAAGAAUAUUGUUACCAGCAUAAAACAAAACUAAUAAUAAAACCGAUGGUCAUCUGUAGCCAAUACGAGAGAUGAGCGUUCCCACAUGACCACUGGGUCAUCGUUGUGGGGAGAAUUGGCUUCCCGAACACAAAUUUAU
rnacentral:lncRNA from 1 species